rnacentral:rRNA from 1 species
UACAGAGGGUGCAAGCGUUAAUCGGAAUUACUGGGCGUAAAGCGUGCGUAGGCGGUUAUGUAAGUCGGGUGUGAAAGCCCCGGGCUCAACCUGGGAAUGCCAUUCGAGACUGCAUAGCUAGGGUGCGGAAGAGGGAAGCGGAAUUUCCGGUGUAGCGGUGAAAUGCGUAGAUAUCGGAAGGAACACCAGUGGCGAAGGCGGCUUCCUGGUCCAGCACCGACGUUCAGGCACGGAAGCGUGGGGAGCAAACAGG